UGAAAAUACAAACAAAAGCACCAAAUUUUGGUUGAAAGUCUGGCAGGACUGGGCUUUGGCGAGAGAAUAUCAUGUUGACAUGUGCGUAUCCAAUUUUGUCAUGCUAAUAAUAAACAAGUAAUCAUGCGAUGUUGCUCGUACAAUUAGGGAUUAAUAGUACUCGUGAUGUUUGGAAAUUUGCCAAAUUGGACUCGCCCCGGCAGCUCGUCCAAUUUUGGCAAAAUUUCCAAACAUCACUCGUACUAUUAAUCCCUAAUUGUACUCGCCAUCGCAUGAUUACCUAUACUAAAUUUAAGUUGCAGAAUUCUAACACAUUCCUGUCCAUUAGAGAUGGCCAAAUGAUGUAAAUAAUAUAGUUUUGCCAGACACCAGAUGGUACUGGAUACUACAGUAUAAUAGCCUACAGAUACCAGUCAGGAAAAAAAUGAUAGCCUGGUACUGGAUAAUAGUCAGAUAUCAGAUUCUAGUUGUGAUGCUUCACCCAUCUUGGUUUAGGCCGGCGAACGGCGAAUUUCGCCAGCGCUAAGAAGACAUGUGACAGCCAUUCGCCAGAGGCUGUGUGUAAUUCGCCGGUACUUGCAGUCAUGACAAGCUGAAAUUUUUAGCCCAGUCUCGCACUCAGAUAAUAUACCAAAUACAUAAAGCUUCCCUUUGCCCACCACUCAAGCUUCGACCUCCCAUUCUUUGCAUACUCGCUACGCUCAUCAAUUAAUAGCCGGAGCCUCAGUAGAGCAAAACAGUAUUGGCCAUACCCAAAUUAUUAUUAGCCAGGACUUCAAACAGAUACCUGAAGGGCUGAUGCUUUACGAUUAUUAAUUAUGCAUAUAAUUGUAAUGGGGGGGGGGGGGUGUUCGACGUUUUUUUUCCGAAAGCAAAACAUCCCAAAAAUUUAUCCAAACACUAGUUUGAGAUAAUGGGGGCUUAAAAAUAUAUUUUCAGAUCUUUUUCGACCUCAUUUGUUUAGAAAAUUCCUUCAAAUUUUUAAAUAUGUGUUAAAACACAUUCUGCAAUUCCGGGCCCCCUCUGGGCAAGUUGGGCCCGCCCCAGUAGUUACGGCCCUGAAUCUACAGCACUUACAGCGGAUAGCAGAUAUUUACUUUGAACAUCACAACUUUUUCUCCCAGUAAUUGUCCCUGUUCCCAAUUUCUGAAUGUACAAAAAAGACAAAGAAAACAGUUUGUCAGCAGAGUCAGCUUCAUGUUCUUAGAAUAAAAGUUGUAGUGGUAUCUGGUAAAUAUCUGGCAAGAUUUUAACAACCACCUAAUAGUGCCGGAUGUCUGGUUUAACUGGUAUCUGGAUCUGGCACAUUCCUAUUAUCCAUACUGUACAGUACGGCCCUAAUGAAAGUUAACCAUUCUCGCUCGAUAAAAAUUCUCGCUCGCUCGAAACGCGCUUCGCGUUACUCGAUACACAAGAAUUUUGCGAGAAAUCUCGAUGCAAACAUUCACGAGAAUUCUCGCAGCGCUAUACUGCGUGUAAAAUUUUUCGCAUACGUAAAUAAUCUGCAACUACUGGUAGAAGUAACGUUGCUUCGCAAGUCCGUGCGAAAACACGGGGUAAACUGAAAUUAACAAUACAGAGCCAAUUCUUGACUGAUCUUUAAGGACAACAUUAAAAUCCAGCAACAUUAAAAUCCACAAUCAAUAUUUUGAAAUAAAAACGAAAUAAAAUCUACAAAAAAUAUGUAUUAUUUUACCUCCAAAAGAUAUCAACUUCGCUUUCCAUGCCUUUCAAUGCAGUAUCGCUUGGACGUCACUUCCUUUGACCGCGAUGACUACUUUAAUAUUUGCGCUCAGUAACUUCUCACGCGACACCACUAACAGUGUCUUAUCAGCGUAAAAGUAAAACUUCGUCAAGUUUCUUGAAGACAUCGCGUUCUUAUUUCUAUUUCUAUAAUGUCUCUCACAGCAGGCUCACCGACAGAGAUCAAAACAGUAAUGAGCCUAAGACGCUGUAUAAAUCAGACAGCAUGUUUUUCACUGACAUCAUUUGUAAUGCUCUUUUGUUUUCGAUAAUCCAUACGAGACAAUAAGUUGUCGGUGCAGUUCCUGUUAUUGUGGUUGUAAAGAUUGUGCAUGAAUACAGCUAUCGGUUACUAAAUGCAAUCAACCGAAGCGAACUAACAUUAUUUAUAGCCUAAGGCUAUAAUUAUGUAGAUUGUUUUGGUGUAUGAGUCACACCGUAAAAUUUUGGAAAUAGUUUAUUUCUGACUAACGAUAACGAGUACGUUGAGCCGCUAAUUCUAAUAAAGUAUAUAAUAGAAAGAGAGUGUUUUUUACUAACACUAACAUGUAACACUUCGAAUAAACAGACGCUGACUUAACCAGGGAAUUUUGUUUAUCUUGAGGUUGUGUAAAGGUGAGUAACGAAAUAUAUAACCGCUAUCACCCUAUCAUAGUUAUAUUUUUAGGGAACUGGUAAAUAUAUGUCAAAAUACAUGACGUUUUCCAUGCAAGGAAACAGCAAUUAUCCUAUAUUUCGCCACAUGUUGGUCAAACUCUCGCUCGAUUUCGCACGAUACAAACAAUUUUCGAGAACCCUCGCUCGAUAUCUAAUUAAAGUCUUCGAGAACACUCGCUCGAUAUUAAAAAUUUUCGAGAACGCUCGCUCGCUUCGCGCUCGCGUACUCGCAACUCGCAGAUUUCUCGUUAGGGGUCAAAUCGCGCUCGAUAGCCUCUCGCUCGAACUCGCAACUCGCUCGUUACACGAUGUUAACUUUCAUUAGGGCUGUACUGUAGCUACAGUAAAAA